rnacentral:rRNA from 1 species
CGCUCGUAGUCGGAUUUCGGGGCGGGCCGACCGGUCUGCCGAUGGGUAUGCACUGGCCGGCGCGUCCUUCCACCCGGAGACCGCGCCUACUCUUAACUGAGCGGGCGCGGGAGACGGGUCUUUUACUUUGAAAAAAUCAGAGUGUUUCAAGCAGGCAGUCGCUCUUGCAUGGAUUAGCAUGGGAUAAUGAAAUAGGACUCUGGUGCUAUUUUGUUGGUUUCGAACACCGGAGUAAUGAUUAACAGGGACAGUCAGGGGCACUCGUAUUCCGCCGAGAGAGGUGAAAUUCUCAGACCAGCGGAAGACGAACCACUGCGAAAGCAUUUGCCAGGGAUGUUUUCACUGAUCAAGAACGAAAGUUAGGGGAUCGAAGACGAUCAGAUACCGUCGUAGUCUUAACCAUAAACCAUGCCGACUAGGGAUUGGAGGAUGUUCCAUUUGUGACUCCUUCAGCACCUUUCGGGAAACUAAAGUCUUUGGGUUCCGGGGGGAGUAUGGUCGCAAGGCUGAAACUUAAAGGAAUUGACGGAAGGGCACCACCAGGAGUGGAGCCUGCGGCUU